UGAGUUGUAGUUUUUUGGAAAAACAUCAUUUUUUGGUAAUGAAUAAUAUCAGUUCGAAUCUGGUCAACUCAG